ACGAACGCUGGCGGCUGCUUAACACAUGCAAGUCGAACGGAGUGGCGAACGGGUGAGUAACGCGUGAGCAACCUGCCUAUGACAGGGGGAUAGCCUCGGGAAACCGGGAUUAAUACCGCAUAGUCAUAGAUGGGCUCGAGUCUGAUUGGCUAGUUGGUGAGAUAACAGCCCACCAAGGCGACAAUCAGUAGCCGGUCUGGGAGGCUGGACCGCCACAUUGGAGCGAGGUAGCAGUCGAAACUCCUACGGGAGGGAGGAGUGGGGAAUACAGCAAAAGGGGGGAAACCAUGAAGGAGCGACGCGGGUAGAACUAAGAAGGUAGUCGUAUCGUAAAGGUCUUUCAUAUGGGAAGCGGUACCAAAGAAGAAAGCUCCGGCUAAAUACGUGCCAGCCGCCGCGGUAAUUC
rnacentral:rRNA from 1 species